rnacentral:rRNA from 1 species
ACACAUGCAAGUCGAACGGUGAAGAGAGCUUGCUCUCUGGAUCAGUGGCGAACGGGUGAGUAACACGUGAGCAAUCUGCCCCUGACUCUGGGAUAAGCGCUGGAAACGGCGUCUAAUACCGGAUACGAGCUGCGAAGGCAUCUUCAGCAGCUGGAAAGAAUUUCGGUCAGGGAUGAGCUCGCGGCCUAUCAGCUAGUUGGUGAGGUAAUGGCUCACCAAGGCGUCGACGGGUAGCCGGCCUGAGAGGGUGACCGGCCACACUGGGACUGAGACACGGCCCAGACUCCUACGGGAGGCAGCAGUGGGGAAUAUUGCACAAUGGGCGCAAGCCUGAUGCAGCAACGCCGCGUGAGGGACGACGGCCUUCGGGUUGUAAACCUCUUUUAGCAGGGAAGAAGCGAAAGUGACGGUACCUGCAGAAAAAGCGCCGGCUAACUACGUGCCAGCAGCCGCGGUAAUACGUAGGGCGCAAGCGUUAUCCGGAAUUAUUGGGCGUAAAGAGCUCGUAGGCGGUUUGUCGCGUCUGCUGUGAAAACCCGAGGCUCAACCUCGGGCCUGCAGUGGGUACGGGCAGACUAGAGUGCGGUAGGGGAGAUUGGAAUUCCUGGUGUAGCGGUGGAAUGCGCAGAUAUCAGGAGGAACACCGAUGGCGAAGGCAGAUCUCUGGGCCGUAACUGACGCUGAGGAGCGAAAGGGUGGGGAGCAAACAGGCUUAGAUACCCUGGUAGUCCACCCCGUAAACGUUGGGAACUAGUUGUGGGGUCCAUUCCACGGAUUCCG